rnacentral:rRNA from 1 species
GAUGAACGCUGGCGGCGUGCUUAACACAUGCAAGUCGAACGAAGCAUUUAAGACAGAUUUCUUUGGGAUGAAGUUUUUUAUGACUGAGUGGCGGACGGGUGAGUAACGCGUGGGUAACCUGCCUCACACAGGGGGGAUAACAGUUGGAAACGACUGCUAAUACCGCAUAAGCGCACGGUAUCGCAUGAUACAGUGUGAAAAACUCCGGUGGUAUAAGAUGGACCCGCGUCUGAUUAGCUUGUUGGUGAGGUAACGGCCCACCAAAGCGACGAUCAGUAGCCGGCCUGAGAGGGUGAACGGCCACAUUGGGACUGAGACACGGCCCAAAACUCCUACGGGAGGCAGCAGUGGGGAAUAUUCGCACAAUGGGGGAAACCCUGAUGCAGCGACGCCGCGUGAGUGAGAAGUAUUUCGGUAUGUAAAGCUCUAUCAGCAGGGAAGAAAGUGACGGUACCUGAAUAAGAAGCCCCGG